rnacentral:rRNA from 1 species
AACGGGUGAGUAAUAUAUCGGAACCGUACCCCGUCGGGGGGGGAUAACACAGCGAAAGCUGUGCUAAUACCGCAUACGACCUGAGGGUGAAAGCGGGGGAUCGCAAGACCUCGCGCGAUGGGAGCGGCCGAUAUCGGAUUAGCUAGUUGGUGAGGUAAAGGCUCACCAAGGCGACGAUCCGUAGCGGGUCUGAGAGGAUGAUCCGCCACACUGGGACUGAGACACGGCCCAGACUCCUACGGGAGGCAGCAGUGGGGAAUUUUGGACAAUGGGCGCAAGCCUGAUCCAGCCAUGCCGCGUGAGUGAAGAAGGCCUUCGGGUUGUAAAGCUCUUUCGGUGGGGAAGAAAUUGCUUCGGUUAAUACCUGGAGUAGAUGACGGUACCCGCAUAAGAAGCACCGGCUAACUACGUG